GACGAACGCUGGCGGCGUGCCUAAUACAUGCAAGUAGAACGCUGAAGGAGGAGCUUGCUUCUCUGGAUGAGUUGCGAACGGGUGAGUAACGCGUAGGUAACCUGCCUGGUAGCGGGGGAUAACUAUUGGAAACGAUAGCUAAUACCGCAUAAGAGUAGAUGUUGCAUGACAUUUACUUAAAAGGUGCAAUUGCAUCACUACCAGAUGGACCUGCGUUGUAUUAGCUAGUUGGUGGGGUAACGGCUCACCAAGGCGACGAUACAUAGCCGACCUGAGAGGGUGAUCGGCCACACUGGGACUGAGACACGGCCCAGACUCCUACGGGAGGCAGCAGUAGGGAAUCUUCGGCAAUGGACGGAAGUCUGACCGAGCAACGCCGCGUGAGUGAAGAAGGUUUUCGGAUCGUAAAGCUCUGUUGUAAGAGAAGAACGAGUGUGAGAGUGGAAAGUUCACACUGUGACGGUAUCUUACCAGAAAGGGACGGCUAACUACGUGCCAGCAGCCGCGGUAAUACGUAGGUCCCGAGCGUUGUCCGGAUUUAUUGGGCGUAAAGCGAGCGCAGGCGGUUAGAUAAGUCUGAAGUUAAAGGCUGUGGCUUAACCAUAGUACGCUUUGGAAACUGUUUAACUUGAGUGCAAGAGGGGAGAGUGGAAUUCCAUGUGUAGCGGUGAAAUGCGUAGAUAUAUGGAGGAACACCGGUGGCGAAAGCGGCUCUCUGGCUUGUAACUGACGCUGAGGCUCGAAAGCGUGGGGAGCAAACAGG
rnacentral:rRNA from 1 species